GCAGGUAUCGUAUAGUGGCUAUUAUGCAGCCUUGCCAAGGCUGAGAGAGGGGUUCAAUUCCCCUUACCUGCUCCA
rnacentral:tRNA from 1 species